GACGAACGCUGGCGGCGUGCUUAACACAUGCAAGUCGAACGAAGUGGCGAACGGGUGAGUAACGCGUAAUCAACCUGCCCUUCAGAGGGGGACAACAGUUGGAAACGACUGCUAAUACCGCAUACUGAAGGUGGGGAUUGCGUCUGCUUAGCUAGUGUGAGGGGUAACGGCCCACGAAGGCGAUGAUCAGUAGCCUGACGGCGAGGAUGAACGGCAGCAUUGGGACUGGGACACGGCCCAGACGCCUGCGGGAGGCAGCAGGGGGGAAUCUGCCGGAAUGGACGAAAGUCUGACGGAGCAUCGCCGCGUGAGUGAUGACGGCCUUCGGGUGGUAAAGCUCUGUUAUUCGGGACGCGGUACCGGCAUAGAAAGCCACGGCUAACUACGUGCCAGCAGCCGCGGUAAUUC
rnacentral:rRNA from 1 species